rnacentral:rRNA from 1 species
UUGGCGGACGGGUGAGUAACGCGUGAGCAACCUGCCUUUCAGAGGGGGAGUAACGUUUGGUAAACGAACGCUAAUACCGCAUGAUAUUAAAGGGCUGCAUGGCCUGAUAAUCAAAGGAGCAAUCCGCUGAAAGAUGGGCUCGCGUCCGAUUAGGUAGUUGGUGAGGUAACGGCCCACCAAGCCGACGAUCGGUAGCCGGACUGAGAGGUUGAACGGCCACAUUGGGACUGAGACACGGCCCAGACUCCUACGGAAGGCAGCAG